AUUGAACGCUGGCGGCAUGCUUUACACAUGCAAGUCGAACGGUAACAGGCCGCAAGGUGCUGACGAGUGGCGCACGGGUGCGUAAUGCAUCGGAACGUGCCCAGUCGUGGGGGAUAACUACUCGAAAGAGUAGCUAAUACCGCAUACGAUCUAUGGAUGAAAGCGGGGGACCGUAAGGCCUCGCGCGAUUGGAGCGGCCGAUGUCAGAUUAGGUAGUUGGUGGGGUAAAGGCUCACCAAGCCAACGAUCUGUAGCUGUGCUGAGAGGACGACCAGCAAAACGGGAACUGAGACACGGCCAAGACUCCUACGGGAGGCAGAAGUGGGGAAUUUUGGACAAUGGGCGAAAGCCUGAUCCAGCAAUGCCGCGUGCAGGAAGAAGGCCUUCGGGUUGUAAACUGCUUUUGUACGGAACGAAACGGCUCUGGUUAAUACCCGGGGCUAAUGACGGUACCGUAAGAAUAAGCACCGGCUAACUACGU
rnacentral:rRNA from 1 species